GAGCCGCUAGCUCAGUUGGUAGAGCAUCGCCCUUUUAAGGCGAGGGUCGUAGGUUCGAUCCCUACGCGGCUCACCA
rnacentral:tRNA from 1 species